GAUGAACGCUGGCGGCGUGCCUAAUACAUGCAAGUCGAGCGAACAGACGAUGAGCUUGCUCCUUUGACGUUAGCGGCGGACGGGUGAGUAACACGUAUGUAACCUACCUAUAAUACUGGGAUAACUUCGGGAAACCGGAGCUAAUACCGGAUAAUAUUUCGAACCGCAGUGUUCGAUAGUGAAAUAUGGCUUUGCUAUCACUUAUAGAUGGACCUGCGCCGUAUUAGCUAGUUGGUAAGGUAACGGCUUACCAAGGCAACGAUACGUAGCCGACCUGAGAGGCUGAUAGCCGACACUGGAACUGAGACACGGUCAAGACUACUACGGGAGGCAGCAGUAGGGAAUCUUACGCAAUGGGCGAAAGCCUGACGGAGCAACGCCGCGUGAGUGAUGAAGGUCUCCGGAUCGUAAAACUCUGUUAUUAGGGAUGAACAAACGUGUAAGUAAAUGUGCACGUCUUGACGGUACCUAAUCAGAAAGCCACGGCUAACUACGUG
rnacentral:rRNA from 1 species